rnacentral:rRNA from 1 species
UACAGAGGUGGCAAGCGUUGUUCGGAAUUACUGGGCGUAAGGGGCGCGUAGGCGGCCCGUCAAGUCCCGUGUGAAAGCCCCCGGCUCAACCGGGGAACGGCGCGGGAAACUAGCAGGCUUGAGUUCGGGAGAGGGAAGCGGAAUUCCGGGUGUAGCGGUGAAAUGCGCAGAUAUCCGGAGGAACACCGGUGGCGAAGGCGGCUUCCUGGACCGACACUGACGCUGAGGCGCGAAAGCUAGGGGAGCAAACGGG